rnacentral:lncRNA from 1 species
CCGGUGUGCCGCUGCACCACAUUGCUCUUCCUUUCUUUCCGUGGAUCACGCCAGCCACCUAGUCAGUUCUGAUGAGAGAACCUGGAUACCUUGGUUGCCAGUGCAGGAUCCACACACUAAUUAUGGUUCUUUUUGAUGGGAGCCCCGGAUUGCUGCUGCUUCUAUUCGGCCAUCUUGUCCCCACCCCGGGAUGACAUCUAGGUGCAAGAUCCCAGCCCCACGCCUCAUUCUCCACAAGCUCCUCUGACGUAAGGGGCUGCCCAGUCACCCGCUCACACCCAUCCCCUUCCUGGCUCAGGGGACAGCUGGCUCCCCGCCUUCUCCGCAGGCCAGCGAGGAGCUCGGAGCCUCCACCUGGGAGUGGGGGUGUAGCUGGCUGGGACCUCGGACCCACGGUGGAGGGAGCAGGGAGUAGGUGAGAUGACAGGCCGACAGGUGGCGGGGAUUCUGGCCCUAGUACCUCGACUGCCACUGGUGCGGAGCCUGGUGGAGACGGGGCAGGCGGACUGCCCAGGAGGUUGAAGGAAAUAGAAACAAAUCCCUAUCUCUGGGAGCAGAGCAGGAAUGAAUGCCAGACCCAGAACUACAGCUGCAAGAGAAGCAGGGACAGCGAAAGGCCGCACUCUCAAGACCCAGGGAAAGAAUGGCUGCCUAAGAAUGAAGCUUAAUAACAGUAAUAGAGAAUGUGCUCUUUCCUCUUCUGCAACAACC